rnacentral:tRNA from 1 species
GGCUCCAAGUGUAGUGUUUAGCACAUCUGCUUUGCAUGCAGAAGGUCCUGGGUUCAUGCACCAGGUGGAGCCA